rnacentral:tRNA from 1 species
GCCUGGCUAGCUCAGUCGGUAGAGCAUGAGACUCUUAAUCUCAGGAUCAUGGGUUCAAGCCCCAUGUCGGGCG